rnacentral:rRNA from 1 species
UAAUACAUGCAAGUCGAACGCUUUUUCUUUCACCGGAGCUUGCUCCACCGAAAGAAAAAGAGUGGCGAACGGGUGAGUAACACGUGGGUAACCUGCCCAUCAGAAGGGGAUAACACUUGGAAACAGGUGCUAAUACCGUAUAACACUAUUUUCCGCAUGGAAGAAAGUUGAAAGGCGCUUUUGCGUCACUGAUGGAUGGACCCGCGGUGCAUUAGCUAGUUGGUGAGGUAACGGCUCACCAAGGCAACGAUGCAUAGCCGACCUGAGAGGGUGAUCGGCCACACUGGGACUGAGACACGGCCCAGACUCCUACGGGAGGCAGCAGUAGGGAAUCUUCGGCAAUGGACGAAAGUCUGACCGAGCAACGCCGCGUGAGUGAAGAAGGUUUUCGGAUCGUAAAACUCUGUUGUUAGAGAAGAACAAGGAUGAGAGUAGAACGUUCAUCCCUUGACGGUAUCUAACCAGAAAGCCACGGCUAACUACGUGCCAGCAGCCGCGGUAAUACGUAGGUGGCAAGCGUUGUCCGGAUUUAUUGGGCGUAAAGCGAGCGCAGGCGGUUUCUUAAGUCUGAUGUGAAAGCCCCCGGCUCAACCGGGGAGGGUCAUUGGAAACUGGGAGACUUGAGUGCAGAAGAGGAGAGUGGAAUUCCAUGUGUAGCGGUGAAAUGCGUAGAUAUAUGGAGGAACACCAGUGGCGAAGGCGGCUCUCUGGUCUGUAACUGACGCUGAGGCUCGAAAGCGUGCGGAGCGAAUAGGAUUAGAUACC